GCGGCCGUGACCCUGCUGGAGUGCGGGGGGCACCUCCAGCCCCCCGGGGGGUCCCUGCGCCUCCUCUGCCAAGGGUCCAGGUUCAGUUUCAGCAGUUUUGGGAUGGGCUGGUAUCGACAGAGACCCGGACAGGGGCUGGAAGCAGUCGCAAGUAUCACCAGCAGUGGCAGCGCCUACUAUGCAGAUUCGGUCAAGGGCCGGUUCAGGAUCUCCAGGGACAACGGGCAGAGCUCGGUGACGCUGACCAUGAACAACCUCAAGGACGACGAUUCCGGAUCCUAUUUCUGUGCCAAACGUGCUUAUGCUGAUAAUUGGAGUCCUGCCACAGCCACUGAAACGAGUCCUCAACCUUUGUCCCCAAAUCGGGACCCUGGGCCUCAAACCCCGACCCUCUGA